CCUUGCUACAGCUUGGGAGAUGCCCCUGUAACUCAGGGUCCACAUCUGGCCAAAACCUGCUGGAUCGGAGGGGGACCUGGAUUCAGACGGAGACUGGAAGACCGAAGGGCUGGGGCAGAGAACGGCAGACGGAUGACAAAGAAAGGAUUUGUCCUCUUCUCUCUGCAGUGCUCAUGAGCUGGCAGGGAGCAAGAGGGAGGUGCAUGCUGUGAUCCUGCUCCUGACGCAGCUCUUCUGCCAUACGGGAAGCCUAAGAGGACAGUAAGAAAUUGGCUGUCAGCACAGACUAUUCAUACUAAGCCCUGGAAGUUAAGCUAUAGAGCCCUGAUGGCAUAUGAGAAAAAGUACAGAUUCUGUACAUCUGUUCUUUGUGGCACAGCGUGGCUUUCUAAAGGCCUGAUCCAAAGAAAUGGAAUGGAAAUAAUCUGGUUUACUUUCUGGAUCAGGCCUGAAGGCAGGUGUUUUUGUGCUUGCUGAUUGUACUAGAAGAGUGUAAAGCGUUUCCCCAGUCUGUGAUUAAGUCAGUCAUUUCUGGCUUCAGUGACACUCCUUUUGCCUAGAGACAUUCCAAACUUUAUGCCUUCUAUCCCCCCUGGAGAGAAGGUAAAUCCGAACAUACCAUAGAUUUCAGGUGAAGAUAUUGUAAGAAUAAGCAGUAACUGAAGGCACAAGGGAGACAAACAAAGUUCAACCUCUUCAGGCAGAAAUGCUGUGCAUUAAAUCUCCGGCUAUUGAUGUGCUAGUUGCCUGCUCAACACUCUUCUGUCCUCCUUGCUGAUUAUGAAGGGGGUUAACUGGGUAGAGGGAAGUGGCCCUGUAUUUCCUCAGAAGCAUGAUAGAUAUUAUGAAAUGGGCUUCAGGAUUCAGCAUUUCAGUUGUACGUGCUGCCACUAGUGAAAAGCCGAACGUCUCGUGACUUGGGGAGGAAGGGAAAGGAAAGAAGGGUACAAUGAAGGGGAAAUGGAAGUAUUCUUUAGGUGCUAUCAGCGGUGCAAAAGAUCUCUCUGUUAAGACUGGAUUCCCUGUUUUAUUUCCCAACUCAAAUUAACGUGGCUGUAUUGAUGCACAAAUGAGGUGAUACGCACGCUGCUCUUGAGGGGUGCAAAACACUACGGAAGCGCUACGGUUUAUGACAACGAACUGCAGAAUUAAGCGGUGGGUGCGAGAAUGUGAGACAUAUCCCGUCGGCUUCCUGGUUUCAUCAUUAAGGACAGGGGUGGAACUUACAUCAGACAUGGCCUUCUUCGCUCUCUCGUCCGCUGCCCGGUACUCGCUGAUGAUCUCCUCGUGUUCAUUUGUGAUGCGCAGGAGGUCAGACUCCAGUUUGCGCUUUAUCACCAACAGGCUUUGGUUCUGGAAAGGGAAGAAAAGACUCAGGAACCCAGCAAACCCCAGCUCCUCUCCUAGGAGCCCUUGUACUUGGCCUUGAAGCAGAUGAUUUGCACUUUGAUUUGCACAGAGAAUUUGCUUUCUUUUCUAUUAGGCAGUUAUAUGUUGUUAAAGGGAGUGCGCUUUAUCCAGGGUUUAAAGUCACUGACCUUACCCCAGGUACAUAGAUGGCCUUCCAGGCUGAGUUAUUUGUAUAUCAGAAUGCUUUUGUCUACUAGUGUCUUGAGUUGUGGUUCAGCUUCAUUGAAUUUGUGUGCAUAGAUGAGUGUGUAUUAUUAUUUCAAAACUAGGUUGCAGAAGAAUCCACUGGCCAAAGUUGUGGCUGAGGAUCCCUUCUGGUAGGCAGUCUACAGAUAUACAAAAGACAUAGCCCCUGCCCCAGAGAGCUUCUAGCAUAUAGUUAUUUGGGCUUCAUGGGACAUCUGAAUCCCUUUAGUUGAUUUAAUUCUCACUGUCUGCUAUCAUUUACUUUAGGAUUAGGUAAUAUCAUGUUUGGGUAUUUUUUAUAAACAGCCCAAAUACUAAGAUCUCUACAGUUAAAAAUAUCCCUAUGAAAAGAAACACGUUGUAUAGAUUUGCAGGUUCUUCAUUCACACAUCAGUGUCAGGUUUGUGUGUCAAUGUGCCGCACAGGGCGAUACAUGUUCUGCGUGGUAUUGGUUUGAUAGGAUAAGCAACCAGGAAAAGAAAACAUAGCAUGGAAACAGCAGCUUAGCUGCCAGAAAUGUAGUCUUUCGUCAUCCCUCAGUUACGAGUAAGUGUAUGAGCUGUAUUUUUAUUAUCUGAAUAAAAAUAGCAUUAUAACUCAA